UAAUACGUAGGGGGCUAGCGUUGUCCGGAAUCAUUGGGCGUAAAGCGCGUGUAGGCGGUCCGGUAAGUCCGCUGUGAAAGUCGGGGGCUCAACCCUCGAAUGCCGGUGGAUACUGUCGGGCUAGAGUGCGGAAGAGGCGAGUGGAAUUCCUGGUGUAGCGGUGAAAUGCGCAGAUAUCAG
rnacentral:rRNA from 1 species